CCCAUCGGGAUCGGUCGAUGGUACCCGCUUGGAACUUAAGCAUAUCAAUAAGCGGAGGAAGAGAAACCAACAGGGAUUGCCUUAGUAACUGCGAGUGAAGCGGCAAAAGCUCAGAUUUGAAAUCUGUGUCCUUCCGGGCACCGAGUUGUAAUUUUGAGAUACGUUUUCGACCGACAGGCCUGCCUUAAGUUCCUUGGAACAGGACGUCACAGAGGGUGAGAAUCCCGUGAAUGGUAGGCCUCGACGCACACGAUACGUAUUCGACGAGUCGAGUUGUUUGGGAAUGCAGCUCAAAAUGGGUGGUAAAUUUCAUCUAAAGCUAAAUAUUGGGGAGAGACCGAUAGCGCACAAGUAGAGUGAUCGAAAGAUGAAAAGCACUUUGAAAAGAGAGUUAAAAAGUACGUGAAAUUGUUGAAAGGGAAGCGCUUGAGACCAGACUCAAUCACCGUUGAUCAACUUCAGUUCUCUGUUGUGCACUCGGCGGUUUUUGGGACAGCAUCGGUUCUGGCGGAGGGAUAAAGCCUUAGGAAAUGUGGCACUCUUCGGGGUGUGUUAUAGUCCUUCGGGCAAUGCCUCCAGCCGGGACCGAGGACCGCGCCUCGGCUAGGAUGCUGUCAUAAUGGUCUUCAGCGACCCGUCUUGAAACACGGACCAAGGAGUCUAACAUCUAUGCGAGUGUUCGGGUGGAAAACCCUUGCGCGUAAUGAAAGGAACGAGGGGAUU
rnacentral:rRNA from 1 species